rnacentral:rRNA from 1 species
UACGGAGGGGGCAAGCGUUGUUCGGAAUCACUGGGCGUAAAGGGUGCGUAGGCGGGUCUUUAAGUCAGGGGUGAAAUCCUGGAGCUCAACUCCAGAACUGCCUUUGAUACUGAGGAUCUUGAGUAUGGGAGAGGUGAGUGGAACUGCGAGUGUAGAGGUGAAAUUCGUAGAUAUUCGCAAGAACACCAGUGGCGAAGGCGGCUCACUGGCCCAUAACUGACGCUGAGGCACGAAAGCGUGGGGAGCAAACAGG